GAAUAUUUACAGGGACCAUUUACUUAAUUAACCCUUCAAUAUAUAAUAAAUUGCAGAAGACAUAUUUAGUAAGCCUUUUCUUUCACUUUUUGUAAUAAAAUGCAGAAGACAUAAGCUAUUUUUAUAGCAAAAGAUAAAACAUAUGCUAUAGGUUGUCUUUAUAAGCUAUAUUGGAGAACUUAUGAAAACUAUCCUAAGUUGUUUUUAUAAGUUCUCCCAAAACUUAUGCAAAAGUCAAUCCAAACAGGCCAUUAGAGAGAGAUUUAGGGGAAUUAUAUUUUAUGGGAAAACAAAAACCUAUUAGUAUUAUUCCCUUCUAUAUAAAACAGUUAGUUUGUUUUAGGUGGUUAUUUUUUUCUGUUAUUCAGUUUUGUUUUUCUGUUAAAGUAGUUGAGUUGUCUUUGUAAAUCUCAACUACUAUAGAUUCUGCUUUUACUCUAUGUUAGUGUGUAAACAGAGGAAGAAAUCUUGAAAGUGGAAGAGAAAAAGAAGAGAAUGGUGAGAAAGAUUGAGAUUAAGAAGAUUGAGAUUAAGAAGAUUGAGAAUUUGAAUAACAGGAAAGUUACAUUUUCAAAAAGACGCAAUGGUUUGUUCAAGAAAGCUCAAGAAUUGUCUAUUCUUUGUGAUGCCGAGGUUGCUGUUAUCGUAUUCUCUACCACCGGCAAGCUUUAUGAGUUUUCCAGCACAAGGUGACCACCCUUUCAAAUUUUUCAUUACUUUCUGGACUGCAUGGUGAUCAUUCUUGUUUAUGUAAAUUAGUGUCUGGUUUUUUUGAUUGAAAUUGAAAUGUGAAGACUUUUAUUGGAAAAUUUUUGGCAUAUUUUAAUUAGUAUAUUGUAGGGUUUAUUUUAGAGAGUAAGAUUCAGGUGAAUUAUAUUUUGUGAGAAAACCAAAACCUGGUUUUGAAUGGUUAAAUUAAUAACAACAAAGUUAUCACAUGGAAUAAAGAGAUUGUUCAAGAAUCUUUCACUUUGUUUUCAAAUUUAUUGAUAUGCAGGAUCAAGAAGCUAUGGCGGAGAUCAAAGCUUUGCGUAAACAACUUGAGGAGAUUGAAAAUAAAAGCAAGGUAGAGUUCAAAGAAAUUGAUCCGUUGGAUAGAGGUACAGCUUCCAUCAACAGUUCAAACCCCCCGUUGGAACCCUACUUGCUGUUAAGGUUGUAACCUGAUCAUGAUCGCAAGAGGAAAAGUUAUAAAUCACUGAAGAUGAGAGGUUGCAACAACUAGAGAAUUCCAGUGGCUUCCAGUGACAUUUUUGCACUGAAAAUUAACUUGCCCUUUGAAAAUAGAAAACUUUCCUUAGCUUUUUCUUUCUUUGGUUUCACAAUGUCACUGAGAGUGACAGUUUAGCUUUUAAAACUAAUUUCUUACAUAGGUUAAAAUUGAUUUCUGUUUCCUGCAUGAAAAAUUGGAUUCACCAUGUUGAAUAGUGUUAAAUAUGAUUCACCAUGUCGAAAAAUGUUGGUAAUUUAGUUUAGUCAUGUGAUACUCAUAAGUCACAUUCUGAAUUUGCAUAAAUCAUUGUCGUUGUAGUCA